rnacentral:snRNA from 1 species
GAGUGCUUUUUUUAUUCCCAAAAUUGGAACAAUACAUAGAAAAUUAGCAAGGCCUCUAUGCAAGCGUGAGGAUGACACCGCACAAAUCAAGAAACGGUCCAAAUUUUA